AAUUCUCAACCUCUCUUAGUUUAUGGCUAAGUUAGGCUUGGAUCAUGGAAAUUGCUGGCUAGUCAAGUUAGCUUUUCUAAAAUACAUUUGCAAAGAUAAUUGCUGACUAUGUUUGAUAUGAUAAUUAUCUAUAUCAUCCAUGAUCAGUGUCCCUUUGCCUCUAAUAGUCUGUUAGACAA
rnacentral:misc_RNA from 1 species